UACGUAGGGCGCAAGCGUUGUCCGGAAUUAUUGGGCGUAAAGAGCUCGUAGGCGGCCUGUUGCGUCCGCUGUGAAAUCCCGGGGCUCAACCCCGGGCCUGCAGUGGAUACGGGCUGGCUGGAGGCAGGCAGGGGAGAACGGAAUUCCUGGUGUAGCGGUGAAAUGCGCAGAUAUCAGGAGGAACACCAAUGGCGAAGGCAGCACUCUGGGACGUGACUGACGCUGAGACGCGAAAGCGUGGGGAGCAAACAGG
rnacentral:rRNA from 1 species